UACGGGGGGAGCAAGCGUUGUUCGGAGUUACUGGGCGUAAAGCGCACGCAGGCGGUCAGAUCAGUCUGGAGUGACAGUCGUCGGCUUAACCGACGAAGUGUUCUGGAAACUGUCUGACUUGAGGGCUUCAGAGGGACACGGAAUUCCGGGUGGAGUGGUGAAAUGCGUAGAUAUCCGGAGGAACACCAAUGGCGAAGGCAGUGUCCUGGGAAGUACCUGACG
rnacentral:rRNA from 1 species